UCCCAUAUGGUCUAGUGGCUAGGAUGCCUGGCUUUCACCCAGGAGGCUCGGGUUCGGGCUUCCUGUAUGAGAA
rnacentral:tRNA from 1 species